AUGGUUCAAUUUGCAAAAUACUGGAAUGGCAUUGAUCUCAUGAAAGAUGAUGAGGAUUUCAAUCAAAGCAACGUAGAUGCCGAGUGGAAACCAGAGUUCCUUUUUACAGCCAUAUUUGGUGAAACAAACCUAGUAAACUGGGAGCAACUACCUGGAAGAAUCAAUGAAUUCAAACCAGGAACUUCAAAGUUCUUUUCCACCAACAAAGCAAAGAAUCAGCUGGUUCCCAUGUAUCUCAAGGAAAAUCAACGGAAAAAACUCUCAACGGCAAACAUGCAACAAGUAUUUUGUAUGAAGAUAUUCAUUUCAAUGGAGAAGCAUGACCGCUAUGUACUAUAUGUCCUGGAAAAAUACAGACACAAAGUUCACAUUAUUGAUCCUCGAGAAACGACUCACGAGGAAUUUGAGAAAGAAAAGAUAGACAUCAAAGAAUUGACAGAAGAAGAAGCUUGUCGAGUUCUUCAGGAAAAUGAAGAUGCUAAAGAAGAAAGAGAAAGAUAG
rnacentral:rRNA from 1 species